CUCCAGUUCAUCUUUGAUCGCAUCAAGGCCAAACUAGCAGGAUGGAAGGGAAGACAAAUGAAUAGCGCGGGCCUGUGAGCGCUUGUCCGCUCUGUGCUCCUAGCCAUUCCUAUCUUUGCGCUAACCGCAAUCAAGCCCGCGGCUCGCGUUCUGAAGGAGAUUGAUAAGAUAUGCAGGCGGUUCCUCUGGGCCCAGGAAGAGAAGCUGUCUGGCGGGAAAUGCAAAGUCAACUGGCAGACGGUCUGCCCCCCGAUUGAAUUUGGCGGAUUAGGAGUCAUAGGCAGUGCAAAAUUCGCAAGGGCUCUGCGGCUAAGAUGGCUAUGGUUGUCGUGGGAUGAGUUUGACAGACCCUGGGCUGGUUUCCCCCUGCCAUGUGACGACCACGAUCGCCAACUCUUUGCUGUUGCAACAACCGUUUGUAUUGGCAAUGGCGAGCGCGCACUCUUCUGGGAAUCUACCUGGUUGGGUCUGAUGCCGCCAAAGGUGAUUGCACCCUCACUCUUUGCCCGCUGCAAGUGCAAGAAUCGCACCGUGAAGGAAGCGCUGCAAGGACAAAAAUGGAUCCAGGACAUCCGCCGACCACCGCUCUCCGAUGCAAACAUAUUUGAAUUCAGGGGGCUAUGGAAUAUGAUCAAUGAGGCCCAAAUCUCGCUGCAGCCAGACGCGCCAGAUAGCAUCACCUGGAAGACAUCCACCACUGGCACAUACAGCGUAGCGGCCGCUUACAAGCUCCAGUUCGCUAGCUGGAUCAGAUCAGAUUAUGCAACCAUGUUCUAG
rnacentral:rRNA from 1 species